rnacentral:rRNA from 1 species
CACGUGGGAAAUCUGCCCAGAAGCAGGGGAUAACACUUGGAAACAGGUGCUAAUACCGUAUAACAACAAAAUCCGCAUGGAUUUUGUUUGAAAGGUGGCUUCGGCUAUCACUUCUGGAUGAUCCCGCGGCGUAUUAGUUAGUUGGUGAGGUAAAGGCCCACCAAGACGAUGAUACGUAGCCGACCUGAGAGGGUAAUCGGCCACAUUGGGACUGAGACACGGCCCAAACUCCUACGGGAGGCAGCAGUAGGGAAUCUUCCACAAUGGACGAAAGUCUGAUGGAGCAAUGCCGCGUGAGUGAAGAAGGGUUUCGGCUCGUAAAACUCUGUUGUUAAAGAAGAACACCUUUGAGAGUAACUGUUCAAGGGUUGACGGUAUUUAACCAGAAAGCCACGGCUAACUACGUGCCAGCAGCCGCGGUAAUACGUAGGUGGCAAGCGUUGUCCGGAUUUAUUGGGCGUAAAGCGAGCGCAGGCGGUUUUUUAAGUCUGAUGUGAAAGCCUUCGGCUUAACCGGAGAAGUGCAUCGGAAACUGGGAGACUUGAGUGCAGAAGAGGACAGUGGAACUCCAUGUGUAGCGGUGGAAUGCGUAGAUAUAUGGAAGAACACCAGUGGCGAAGGCGGCUGUCUAGUCUGUAACUGACGCUGAGGCUCGAAAGCAUGGGUAGCGAACAGGAUUAGAUACCCUGGUAGUCCAUGCCGUAAACGAUGAGUGCUAAGUGUUGGAAGGGUUUCCGCCCUUCAGUGCUGCAGCUAACGCAUUAAGCACUCCGCCUGGGGAGUACGACCGCAAGGUUGAAACUCAAAGGAAUUGACGGGGGCCCGCACAAGCGGUGGAGCAUGUGGUUUAAUUCGAAGCUACGCGAAGAACCUUACCAGGUCUUGACAUCUUCUGCCAAUCUUAGAGAUAAGACGUUCCCUUCGGGGACAGAAUGACAGGUGGUUGCAUGGUUGUCGUCAGCUCGUGUCCUGAAAAGUUUGGGUUAAGUCCCGCAACGAG